AAAGCCCCAGGGAUUGAUGAGAUCCAGCCAGAAAUGCUAAAGGCUCUGGGUGUUGAGGGGCUGUCAUGGUUGACGCACCUAUUCAACAUUGCGUGGGAGUCUGUUACAGUGCCAAAGGAGUGGCAAACCGGGGUGGUGGUUCCCCUGUUCAAAAAGGGGGACCAGAGAGUGUGUGCCAAUUACCGGGGUAUCACAGUUCUCAGCCUCCCUGGUAAAGUCUACUCCAAGAUGCUGGAAAGGAGGGUUCGGCCGAUCGUCGAACCUCAGAUUGAAGAGGAACAAUGCGGUUUUCGCCCCGGACGCGGAACUACGGACCAGCUCUUCACUCUCGCAAGGAUCCUGGAGGGGGCCUGGGAGUAUGCCCAUCCGGUCUACAUGUGUUUUGUGGAUCUGGAGAAGGCGUUUGACCGGGUCCCCAAGGAUAAACUGUGGGAGGUACUGCGGGAGUAUGGGCUGGUGCACUCAUAAAAAUGAUUCAAGCACUUCUUAGAUAUGACAAAUUAAUAUUCUAUUUGUCUAAUGAAAUAUAUAUUAAUUCAAAUAAAAACCAAAAUAGUUUAACUCGUACAACUUAAAAUGUAUUCAUCGUCUCCGCUGACGCUGCUGACCUAUCCGUUCAACCCAAAAAGAUUGAGGUCAAUGACGGAAGCAUGCGCACGUGAGUUGACCACGCCCCUCUUUCCAUGCCCUGAAGCAGCGCGCCAUUUUGUUCAUCUUCUGGCUGCAGCGAGCGGCUUCCACUUACUCUCGGAAUGUAUGGACAAACUGAACCUCAGGAACUUGGUGUCUAUUUCAAUGGAUGGGCCCAAUGUGAAUUGGAAACUCUUCGACCUUUUCCAGAAAGAUCAAGCUGAGCAGUACGGAGGUCUUCAGCUCGUUUGUGUGGGGAGCUGUGGCCUACACACACUACACAACUCCUUCAAGUGUGGGUUCACUGUAUGGCAGCUGGACAAAUUGCUGAGAGCAAUACACACAUUGUUUCACAAUACGCCUGCCAGGAGAGAGGAUUACAUCACCGUAACCAAGUCCAGUGUGUUCCCUCUAUCUUUCUGUGCCCAUCGUUGGGUAGAAAACCUUCCGGUUGUGGAGAGAGCCCUGGCAGUCUGGCCAUCAUUUCUCCUGUACAUGGAAGCUGUGAAAACAAAGAGACUCCCGAACCCUGGAACAGCAUCAUAUGACACAGUUGCAGCAGCCAUAAAGGAUCCACUCGUCUUGGCCAAAUUGCAGUUCUACGCAGCAAUUGCCAGGACCUUCAAUCCCUUCCUGAAAAAAUAUCAGACGGAUGAGCCUGUGCUCCCAUUCCUCCCCAAAGGACCUGACCGAGUUGAUGAUAACAAUUUACUUAACGUUAUAACCACUGAUUGGGCUCAAUUGAUCCAUUAUGACAAAAUGGGGUUUGUGGUUAGGAUGUGUAAAAAAUAGUGGCUACAUUGUGCAUCAUCAUAAGAUAAUUUGAUGUUGGUGAUUAAUGUGCCGCACCAGACAUUUUUGUGUUUGUCUGUUGACAGUCUACCCAGACGCUUCAUAAAGAGAGAAGUACUACACGAUAUCACUGCCCUGCAGCUGACCAAACUGGAUGUCACAGACAAGACCAUCUGGCUCAGCCCACAAGACAUCAGCAUUGGUCUAGGUGCAGAGUCAGUCCUUAAGGUAGUGUGGUGUUUUCAAAAGAUAAUUUUACAAAUGGUUAGGGUGAACCAGGUGUCAUUGAAGACAUGUUCUAUAUUCAUGGCUAAUUUCUCUCUCUAGAGAAUCAAAGGUGCAGAGCUCAGGGUGCUCGAGUUCAAGAGAGAGUGCAUGCAGGGACUGAGUAACAUGAUCAAGAAAGUGCAGGACAAGAGCCCCCUCAAGUAUCUGACUGUUAGGCAGAUGGUGUGCCUGAAUCCGUCAGUAAUGUAUAGAGAACCAGAAAGAGGCAGGAAUCACAUGAAAGGGCUGGUUCAAAGGUUUCUCCAGGACAAACAGCUUACUGAUACUUCUUCGGGUAAGAAUAAGGCAAAUUAUAGGCUACACAUGAAUUUAUCCUCAAUCUAAUUAGCUGGUAAUGCCCAAAGAUUUAUCAAUGUUUUUCUCUAUUUUCUCAUUUGUUUUGUCGUAGGGGAUGUCAUACUGCAGCAGUUUGACAGUCUCCUUUCCUUGGAGAGCCGGAGUGAGGACUUCCUCUCCUUUCAAACCAUGCAGACGAGGCUGGACAUCUUCCUGAGCAGCGCCAUGGAGCCUUAUCCCGAGCUGUGGGCCUUCUGCAAGAAGCUGCUCAUCCUCAUCCACGGUCAAGCUACAGUUGAGCGUGGAUUCUCAAUCAAUAAAGAGGUGGAGUCUGAUAACUUGGCGGAGGAUACAGUGGUCACACGGAGACUGGUGUGUGACUACAUCAUACAACAUGGAGGUGUUACCAAGGUAAGAUGACUCCUGUCUGGAGUAGUAAUAUGCUGUUGACUUAAAAGUUGAUAGAAUCAACAUAGUUGGUCUCUUGAGUUUGUCACUGAAUCUGGUUCUCUUUCCCCAACCCGAUACCCAGGUUCCACUCAGUAAACCGCUACUGGAAAGUGUAGCAAGGGCAAGGACAAGGUAUCGUACCCAUCUGGAGACCAAAAGAAGGAACAGGGAGGCAAAAGACCAGGCUCUCAAGAGGAGGGAAGCAGAGGACUGUCUUGAGGAGCUGAAGGUUAAGAGGAGACGUGUACAGGAGGUAUCUGAGGGUCUGGCUAGGGAUGCAGACAAGAUGGCUGAGGAGGCUGAAGCGAAGGCAGGGAGCAAGAUGGCUGGCCUGAUCACCAGGUCAAACAUUCUGCGGAGAGGCCAUAAGGAGAAGUUGGCAGAACUGGCUCUCCUUGAUAAAGAGAUCGCUGCUAAGAGUGCAGAGCUUAGGAGUUGACUGUGUGAUCAUAAUUUUAUUUAUUGUUGAGUUGAUUUUCAUUGUUUAUUGCUCAGGAGUCUGUGCUGUUGGCGUAAGUACUCACCACUAUGCUGCAAUGUUCCAUCAUUCCAUAAUGCUUUACAGUCCACAUUUUCACAUUUGUUGAAAUAAAUGAACACAUUUUGAACAAACGCUGUCGGUAGGUCUGUGAAAUAGGCCGU
ensembl:lncRNA